GACCAAUCUGACCACAACCCACUGUUUUCAAACCCAUCAUAUCCUUGCUGCAAAAGCUUAAAGCCUUCGGAAUCUCCUGAAAAAUUACUUCCCCUUCCAAAAGAUCCCAUUGCAGGCAAAUAACCUGGUUGAGGCCCAACUCUGUUGCCAUCUCCUUGGGGAUUAAUGCUAACUGGCAAAUUAGCAGAAGAAACUGGGGUUUUUAAAGCAAUGUUUGGUGUCAUGAAUUGUUGGUAGAAAGGUGGAUCUGAGUUUGGUAAAUCUUGGACGUUGUAUAGCUGACCAUGACAAUUUAUAGGAGGGGGUGUUGUUGUGGAUGAGGAAAAUGACCUUUGUGGCAUUUCAGGAGUGUAACCAUGGCCAUGAAAUGGAAGUGAU
rnacentral:misc_RNA from 1 species